GUAUUAAAUUUUGCCUUUCGGCAGAUAAAAACAUUCAUUACAUCGAGUAAGAGUUUAUAAGGUUUCAAAGACAGGCUUUACCCUGUCUUCAAAAUUGAGUGCACAUGUGUAAGUGGAUUAAAGAGAGCGAGCACAUGCAAUCAUAGACUGCCAGCAUCCAGCCCCCGGUAAUUCAAUAAUGAUCCUUCCGCAGGUUCACCUACGGAAA
rnacentral:misc_RNA from 1 species